UACGUAGGGUGCAAGCGUUGUCCGGAAUUAUUGGGCGUAAAGGGCUCGUAGGCGGUUUGUCGCGUCGGGAGUGAAAACUCAGGGCUUAACCCUGAGCCUGCUUCCGAUACGGGCAGACUAGAGGUAUGCAGGGGAGAACGGAAUUCCUGGUGUAGCGGUGGAAUGCGCAGAUAUCAGGAGGAACACCGGUGGCGAAGGCGGGUCUCUGGGCAACAACUGACGCUGAGGAGCGAAAGCGUGGGGAGCGAACAGG
rnacentral:rRNA from 1 species